GCCCGGCUACCUCAGUUGGUAGAGAAUGAGACUUUUAAUCUCAGGGUCGUGGCUUCAUGACCCACAUUGGGCA
rnacentral:tRNA from 1 species